UGUUUGAGGUCUUGUAUCUAUCGUGUAGCGUGUUUGGGAUAUUGUAACUAUUUUGGCAAGUGAUCGAGCCUUUCGAUUGAGUAAAAUUUUCAAGUAUGUUGAUUGGGGUUUUGAUAGAUUGGUGUUUCGGUACUUGGAAUUGAUCGAUUGAACGGUGUUUUUUAGGUUGGGAGGGCUCGGGAUUGUUUAAAUGUAAAAAACGAACUAGGUGUGUACCCUAAAC
rnacentral:lncRNA from 1 species